rnacentral:tRNA from 1 species
GGCUCCGUGGCGCAAUGGAUAGCGCAUUGGACUUCUAGUCGAACAUUGAGAUGUCAUUCAAAGGUUGUGGGUUCGAGUCCCACCGGAGUCG